CCUACGGGUGGCAGCAGUGGGGAAUAUUGGGCAAUGGGCGCAAGCCUUACCCAGCAAUACCGCGUGAGUGAAGAAGGUCUUCGGAUUGUAAAGCUCUUUGAUCAGGGACGAACAGAUGACGGUACCUGAAGAACAAGCCACGGCUAACUACGUGUCAGCAGCCGCGGUAAAACGUAGGGGGCGAGCGUUGUCCGGAAUGACUGGGGGUAAAGGAUGCGUAGGCGGCAUAAUAAGUUAGAAGUGGAAUACCCAGGGCUUAACUCGGGUGCUGCUUCUAAGACUGUUGGACUUGAGUGCGGGAGGGGUAAAUGGAAUUCCUGGUGUAGCAGUGGAAUGCGUAGAUAUUAGGAGGAACACUAGAGGCGAAGGCGAUUUACUGGACAGUAACUGACGCUGAGGCACGAAGGUGAGGGUAGCGAAAGGGAUUAGAUACCCUAGUAGUC
rnacentral:rRNA from 1 species